UACGGAAGGCAGCAGUGGGGAAUAUUGCACAAUGGGCGCAAGCCUGAUGCAGCCAUGCCGCGUGUAUGAAGAAGGCCUUCGGGUUGUAAAGUACUUUCAGCGGGGAGGAAGGCGAUGCGGUUAAUAACCGCGUCGAUUGACGUUACCCGCAGAAGAAGCACCGGCUAACUCCGUGCCAGCAGCCGCGGUAAUACGGAGGGUGCAAGCGUUAAUCGGAAUUACUGGGCGUAAAGCGCACGCAGGCGGUCUGUUAAGUCAGAUGUGAAAUCCCCGGGCUUAACCUGGGAACUGCAUUUGAAACUGGCAGGCUUGAGUCUUGUAGAGGGGGUAGAAUUCCAGGUGUAGCGGUGAAAUGCGUAGAGAUCUGGAGGAAUACCGGUGGCGAAGGCGGCCCCUGGGCAAAGCUGACGCUCAGGUGCGAAAGCGUGGGGAGCAAACAGGGAUUAGGAUACC
rnacentral:rRNA from 1 species